UACGUAGGGCGCAAGCGUUGUCCGGAAUUAUUGGGCGUAAAGAGCUCGUAGGCGGUUUGUCGCGUCUGCUGUGAAAUCCUCAGGCUCAACUUGGGGCGUGCAGUGGGUACGGGCAGACUAGAGUGCGGUAGGGGAGACUGGAAUUCCUGGUGUAGCGGUGGAAUGCGCAGAUAUCAGGAGGAACACCGAUGGCGAAGGCAGGUCUCUGGGCCGUUACUGACGCUGGAGGAGCGAAAAGCCAUGGGGGAGCGAACAGG
rnacentral:rRNA from 1 species